GACGAACGCUGGCGGCGUGCCUAAUACAUGCAAGUCGAACGAACGGAUAAAGAGCUUGCUCUUUUGAAGUUAGUGGCGGACGGGUGAGUAACACGUGGGUAACCUGCCUCACAGCUGGGGAUAACAUCGAGAAAUCGAUGCUAAUACCGAAUGUGCUGAACAUCAUAAGAUGUUCAAGUGAAAGACGGUUUCGGCUGUCACUGUGAGAUGGACCCGCGCUGGAUUAGCUAGUUGGUAAGGUAAUGGCUUACCAAGGCGACGAUCCAUAGCCGACCUGAGAGGGUGAUCGGCCACAUUGGGACUGAGACACGGCCCAAACUCCUAACGGGAGGCAGCAGUAGGGAAUCUUCGGCAAUGGACGAAAGUCUGACCGAGCAACGCCGCGUGAGCGAAGAAGGCCUU
rnacentral:rRNA from 1 species